CCUCCCUGGUGUCACUGAGCGAUGGAUUGCGAUCGAUGGAGGGCUUCACUCUCUUCAAGCUGCUCCUGGGCUUUAGUUUUUCUUCAUCUUUGCUUGUAGGUUGCGUGAAGCUAGCUAGCUGUUGCAGAGCACCAUGUAUCUCUUAGCUGUUUUUUUCUUUUUCUGCUCCUGUAAGUGGGUUGUUGCUGUAAUCCUGGCCGGUUGAUGGCUUUGUUAAUUCAAAGCCGGGCUCGUCGUGAGCCUUCGUUCUAAAAAAAAACAUCAGUUGACUUCACCUUGCACUGUUCAGAGGAUAACCGUAAUGAUCUGUUGCUAAUUAUCAAUAGAGACUUGCUUUGUUUGCCCGUGGGUCUCUGUUUGUAUGAGGCCGUGGGUCUAUAUUUUGUACUGAAUCAUAACUGAAGAAUGGUGAAACCUGCUUACUGUAUAAGAUUGUGCUCUGAAGAAUGAUGACGCCGACGAAGAGCAUAAACAGGCCCCGUCCAAUAACCAUGCCACUGUAUAACUGCAUGCUCAUCAGUCAAGUGCCAUUAGGGGUUCAGACUUGUGAAGAAAAUCAGCAGCUACAAGUCCACUUCAGCACUAAACGAAGAAGUGGGAACUUCCUGCAUCCUACAGGUGACUGACUUUCCUACAUCCAUGGUCUUCUGCUUACAUAUUCCUUUCAGCUAAUAUUUCCCCUGUUUUUGUACAAAAGAAGAAAACAACACUCUGUUCUUCAAACAUAAACCCGAAAUUAUUAGGGCAUACAAUCUGAACUGUAAGUUGAUGUUACCUGCCAUCUACAAACAGAAGUACUAGUUCUUUUUCAUAUGGUCAGUUUGGUCUCGUAGACUCUCACCAUUACCAAUUGGGCUACCUCCUCAUGUCUUUUAUAAUUUGAAGCACCCCUUUUGUUGACACACUUUACAGGAAGUUAGGAUUUCGCAACCUGGGACAAGCUGGAGCAUAGCAUGAUUAAGCUCAUGAUGCAAUUAAUGCUACUUAUAGCGGCGCACUAGCUAAUUUUCUGCUGAAGGAAGGAAUCUUGAUAUUUAGGAGGAGCUGGAGUAACAACUCUAAGAGAUGAGAUUUGAGCAGGGUGCAUGCCUCUGCAGCUGUAGCGAACAAAACAUCCAGCCUUCCAGUGCUUGAGAAGGAAACUGAACAUUCUGAAGUGUGAACUGUGAUCACACUGAUAACCGGUCCGUUAAUCUACAGCUCCUUUUUUUUGUUGUCAUCUGGGGAGAAGACGUGGAAAACGCAUUCAGCUCUCCCUGGUGGCCUCUAAUAUGGUGUAAGGUGAAGCUAAGAGGGAUCUCGACAUCUCCACUGUGAAUGGAUGAGGAACUCAUUGAUCUCGGGGCUUCAAUGUAAUGGAGGGUAGUAGCAAGCUGCACUGCUACUCAGAAGGAGUUCACAAUUUGCAAUUGUUGGCCCCGAUAAAAAAUCCCUUCUUAGGGAACAGCAUGAAAUGCAAUGGCUGGUGAUCAACCUGAUGAGAACACUUGCAAUUUUUAAUACGGACAUACUUUGUUUUCUAGUACUCUGUUUUUUCAGAGAUGUUUAGUUCGUCUAUGUUUGUUACUGCCACUAUGCUUGUGCUUGUUUGUAAUCAAAGAAUUGGGAGUGCAUAUGUUUUUACUAGCCUAACCCGCGCGGCGGCACGCCGCGCUCGAUGAUCACUCACAAAUGAACAAUCUGUU